rnacentral:rRNA from 1 species
CGCUGGCGGCGUGCUUAACACAUGCAAGUCGAACGAUGAUCCGGUGCUUGCACCGGUGAUUAGUGGCGAACGGGUGAGUAACACGUGAGUAACCUGCCCUUAACUCUGGGAUAAGCCUGGGAAACUGGGUCUAAUACCGGAUAUGACUCCUCAUCGCAUGGUGGGGGGUGGAAAGCUUUAUUGUGGUUUUGGAUGGACUCGCGGCCUAUCAGCUUGUUGGUGAGGUAAUGGCUCACCAAGGCGACGACGGGUAGCCGGCCUGAGAGGGUGACCGGCCACACUGGGACUGAGACACGGCCCAGACUCCUACGGGAGGCAGCAGUGGGGAAUAUUGCACAAUGGGCGCAAGCCUGAUGCAGCGACGCCGCGUGAGGGAUGACGGCCUUCGGGUUGUAAACCUCUUUCAGUAGGGACGAAGCGAAAGUGACGGUACCUGCAGAAGAAGCGCCGGCU